rnacentral:rRNA from 1 species
AUAACUACUGGAAACGGUAGCUAAUACCGCAUAACGGUCGCAAGACCAAAGAGGGGGGACCCUUCGGGGCCUCUUGCCAUCGGAUGUGCCCAGAUGGGAUUAGCUAGUAGGUGGGGUAACGGCUCACCUAGGCGACGAUCCCUAGCUGGUCUGAGAGGAUGACCAGCCACACUGGAACUGAGACACGGUCCAGACUCCUACGGGAGGCAGCAGUGGGGAAUAUUGCACAAUGGGCGCAAGCCUGAUGCAGCCAUGCCGCGUGUAUGAAGAAGGCCUUCGGGUUGUAAAGUACUUUCAGCGGGGAGGAAGGGAGUAAAGUUAAUACCUUUGCUCAUUGACGUUACCCGCAGAAGAAGCACCGGCUAACUCCGUG